UGCUAAAGGAAUCUGGUGGAAACCAGUGG
rnacentral:sRNA from 1 species